GGGGAAUAUUGCACAAUGGGCGCAAGCCUGAUGCAGCCAUGCCGCGUGUAUGAAGAAGGCCUUCGGGUUGUAAAGUACUUUCAGCAGUGAGGAAGGUGGGUAUGUUAAUAGCAUACUCAUUUGACGUUAGCUGCAGAAGAAGCACCGGCUAACUCCGUGCCAGCAGCCGCGGUAAUACGGAGGGUGCGAGCGUUAAUCGGAAUUACUGGGCGUAAAGCGCAUGCAGGUGGUUUGUUAAGUCAGAUGUGAAAGCCCGGGGCUCAACCUCGGAAUUGCAUUUGAAACUGGCAAACUAGAGUACUGUAGAGGGGGUAGAAUUUCAGGUGUAGCGGUGAAAUGCGUAGAGAUCUGAAGGAAUACCGGUGGCGAAGGCGGCCCCCUGGACAGAUACUGACACUCAGAUGCGAAAGCGUGGGGAGCAAACAGGAUUAGAUACCCUGGUAG
rnacentral:rRNA from 1 species